UGGUUCGGAUCUCUGUUUAAUAACGAGGUAUGGAAUUUUUUGUUUGAUAAUUUGCCAUACGUUCUCAAGUGAAGCUUAGAGCUCUUCGCAAAGACAAAAAUUACAUGGAAAGGGUGGAUUUGAUCCAAGAUUUAAGAUUUGAAACUGCAACAACUAGAAUUAAAGCUACCCCGGAUGGCGAAUUUCUCAUUGCUUCAGGUAUUUAUCCACCGCAAGUCAAAAUAUACGAGUUAAGGGAGUUAUCAUUGAAGUUUGAAAGGCAUCUGA